UACAGAGGGUGCGAGCGUUAAUCGGAAUUACUGGGCGUAAAGCGCACGUAGGCGGUUUUGUAAGUCGGAUGUGAAAGCCCCGGGCUUAACCUGGGAACUGCAUUCGAGGCUGCAUGACUGGAGUAUUGGAGAGGGCAGUGGAAUUUCCGGUGUAGCGGUGAAAUGCGUAGAUAUCGGAAGGAACAUCAGUGGCGAAAGCGACUGCCUGGCCAAAUACUGACGCUCAUGUGCGAAAGCGUGGGGAGCAAACAGG
rnacentral:rRNA from 1 species